UUUUAGCCGAUUAUGACAUUUUCAGCAGCGGUGGUGGCGGUUCGUUCGCGCUGCUCGCUUGCUUAAAGUGAUUAGAGUUUUCGAGAGGAGAACUUCGUAUUGUGUUUGCAAUAACGGCAGCAACAACAUCGCUUUAUUUCCGUUCGCGUAACAAUUUGUUGAGAGGUGCGGGGUACCUACGAGGAACAACAACGGAGCUCCGCAGUGGUCACCAUCUUGGUCUGGACAACAUGACGGACGAAAGAGGACCCAACAUGGCGCGACCAACAUCAACGCCUACAAUACCGACAGUUGUGCUGGCUCAGCCGCGGGAUCCAGGAACCUUCUGCGGCACCAACCGCCUCGACGUCGAAGACUGGAUCGCCACGUAUGAGCGCUGCAGUUCGUGCUGAAGGGCGGCGGAUGUGCUGUUGUGUGGACUUUUUGUCCCUCGAAGGCUCUACGACUCCGAACCACCUGAUUAGCUGCAGACGACGUCACCGUGGUGCGCCUAGUGUACAGAUACGGGUAAGACAGACUGUUUAUGGUCCGAGUGUGCUCCGAUAAUCAAGAAGAUGAGUGCUCCAACAGCCAUGCAGAUGUGUGUUCGGACAUAACACAUAACAUGUAACAUGUAAUUUGAAAUGGAACCACAUUCUUGCAA